CGGAAGGCGCACCCUUGUGACGUCACAGGGGACUACCACUCACGCAGAGCCAAUCAGAACUCGCGGUGGGGGCUGCUGGUUCUUCCAGGAGCGCGCAUGAGCGGACGCUGCCUACUGGUGGCCGGGCGGGAUGUAACCGGCUGCUGAGCUGGCAGUUCUGUGUCGCUAGGCUUCUGCCCGGCCGCCGCCGCACAUAAGCCACGAGGAGGAGCUUUACGACUUCCCGGUCUUCGGCGCCGGGCGCAGCAAGGGCCAGACUCUGCGCUAGCAGGCGCUGCGCGCCAACCGGCCGGCACCUGUCGCAGAAGGUGCAACCGAUCGCACUGUCGCGCAGAAGCUCCUCAAUGGCCAGCGCCAGCUGCAGCCCCGGCCGCCCACUCGCCUCAUCUGAGCCUGGCAGAAGGUAAGCAUGAGCAAAUUACUUUUUAGAGGUAACUUUGCUGAACUUGUGAAGAAUGGUGUGCAAGGUCCAGAGCGACUGCAGGAGAGGGAAGGUGGGAUUCCCACAGAGCAGGAGCACAGAUAAGCCAAGCAAGGCCCUGCUUGGAAGGCAGCAAUCAACAGAGAUGCACAGACCUGUGAGGGUGCCGGGACAGCCAUGCAACAAUGCAGCCCUUUUGCUUCCUGAGCUCACCAGUUCCCUCGCUCCACCUCUGAGAGGUGGUUUGGAGAAACACAGCCCUUCUCAAGAGGGCUGCAAGCUACUUAAGUCCUGAAAAUUUCCACAAGGCUGAGUCAAAUCUGCGUUUCAUCAUCUAUAAGAAAGGUACCUAUCGAGAACACCCUGCUGGCCAGUGUGUAAAUAUCUAAAGGAGGACUCAGAAAACACCGGGGAAGUCCAGCCUGCACGUGGUGGCUGGGCUUCAGUGAAGCAUGCAGCACAACAGGAGUUAGCAGACCACAAAGAGCAUGUCUGGACCUAGAACCACAGCAUGUAACCUCGGAAGCAGUGAGACACCAGCCAGCAUGGACAAGCAGCAGGCACUUGCUCUAUACCAGAUAGGUCCCACCUCCAGCCUUCCCCUGCUGCCAUCUAACAUCCUAAACUCCAGCUCUGAAUGUCUGUCUCCUGCUCUGAAUCUUCAGUGACUUCGAAACUCAAGUCAGGACACCUCUCAGUUUGGCCUCACUGCUCAAGAUUGAGCUGAAUUCAUGACCAUAAUUCAAGCAUUCAGAUUCAUGGGCUGUUUUGUGGGUUUUGCUAUCUCUUAUUUUGUUUUUGCACAUCUUACCCACUGAAACGUUGGGCUGCAAAAAGUUUGAUCACUAAAUAUGUAGGCAAUGCUGGAUACUGGGCUGUUAUUUACAUAUUUGUAUCACCUUUUAUUUCAUAAGAUAGCAUUGUCAGAGUAAUUUAGUAUUUCAACAUAAUCAACAAGUAAAAUAAAAUUAAUGAGAAUGAUCUUACUUUGAGUAUUUGUGUCAUUUCUAAAAUGGUCCUUUUUCCUUUUUUUGGAUGCAUAUUCAUGCUCUUCAUUAUUGACUAUUUCUCCAUCUUCACUAUUUAAGAUACUGAAAUAAAGACAUAUUCUAUUAAAAUAUUUUUUCAGGGAGAUCUUCAUUUGGCUUUUCUUUUGUAAAAGGAUACAAAUACUUCAAAGUGACAGACUGUGGGCUUGAAAUCACAGGGGUAAUGUCUAAUACAUUUUUGUUUC
rnacentral:lncRNA from 1 species